GAUCUACUCCCUCCGUUCCAAAUUACUCGUCGCAGAGAUGGAUGUAUCUAGAACUAAAAUACAUCUAGAUACAUUCAUUUCUGUGACGAGUAAUUCGGAACGGAGGGAGUAACUG
rnacentral:pre_miRNA from 1 species